GUUUUUGUGGACCAAAUGUAUCUCAAAUACAAUGGUGACUUCCUUUGGGUUUCAAUCAUUUUGCUCAGAUGAAUACUAUCCAUAGGUUGACUAAAACCCAAUAUGCAUUAAAUGGUAUUUAUCUGCACAGGGACAGUAAGAAAUGUCUAACUUUGUUUUUUUGCUUUGGGGAGUUUGUUUUUAUUGGGCAGAGGGUGUAGUGCGUUUUUUUCCCCAUGUUCACAUUUGGUCUUUUGCAGGUUUUACUAUAUAUUUUUAUUUUAUUUAACUAGGUAAGUCCGUUAAGAUCAAAUUCUUAUUUUCAAUGACAGCUUAGGAACAGUGGGUAACUGCCUUGUUCAGGGGCAGGACGACAGAUUUGUACCUGGGCAGCUCGGGGAUUCAAUCUAGCAACCUUUCGGCUACUGGCCCAACGCUCUAACCGCCAGGCUACCUGCCGGCCCCAGUGUCAGAACAUAAAAUACAGCCAGACUGGGCUGCUACUGUGCCUUUCUCUACUUUAUAAACUGUUGAGAGUAGACCCACAACUGAUGCAAAUGGAAUGAAAUCUAGAAAAUCACAGGGCUUUUGUGUCAUUAUUCAAAUGACAAUUUCCCUGCAGUAUACAUGCCUAGAGUAAAAUGUUGUACUCACCUGUAAACAAUAGCCUAAUUCAAUUAUUCAUUGCAAUGCAGUGUUGUAGGCUAGUCUAGGUAGGAUAAUUGUAUUGUCCCUAAACAUGUAUAUCUCUCUCCUAUUUCAAGGUGUUUUGAAACUUCCCUUAUGCACUAUGCUUUCCUGUCCGCUAACUAUACCACACAGGUCAAUGUAGUGUACCGGUGCCUAUCCUGCCCUCUAUCCAUCAUUCUUAAUGACAAUAGUGGUAGGUGGAUAGUUGUCCAGAUCUGCAAUAUCCUAACUAGUAAUCAUACCACAUAUGAAAUCAUUCAAAACUGCUCCAAUAUAAGCGGAGAGGCCAUGGUGCGUCAUUGAGCAUGAAAGAACAGUGAAGACGUGAGAUAUGCACCUCAAAAAAGCUCCCUUAUUGAUCUUGUGUAGGGUUUGAACAUAGUCUCAAGAGAGAGAGGGGCAAUUCCUCUUGCUACUUUGUAGGCAAGCACCAUGGUCUUGUAGUGGAUGCGAGUUUAGACUGGAAGCCAGUAGGAGUAGCGGGGUGACAUGGGAGAACUUGGGAGGGUUGAAAACCUGGCGGGUUGCAGCGUUCUGGAUAAAUUGCAGGGAUUUGAUUUGCCUAGUUGAAUAAAGGUUGAAUUAAACUAAAAAUGAAAUUGAUGGCACAAGCAGGGAGCACAGCCAACAGCCCAGACGGGAGAUGACAAGUGCCUGGGUUAGGACCUGCACCGCUUCCUGUGUGAGGUAGGGUUGUACUCUACGGCUGUUGUAGAGCAUGAACCUGCAGGAGCGUGUCACUGCUUUGAUGUUUGCAGAGAACAACAGGGUGUUGUCCAGGGUCAUGCCAAGGUUAUUUGCACCCCACAAAAGACCAGUAUACAAACAAACAAGAACAACAAAUUACAGAUAAUACAAAGGCCAUAAAAGACGCACACAUUGACUGUUUUUACAGCUUUCUUCGACCUCAAAGAACUGGGAUGUAUUCAUUACACCGAUUCUGUUGCAAAAUGUUAUCUUAAACGAAAGCAAACGGAACAAAACAGGGGAGGGAACUACAUGAACACUCAUUUUCGUUGCAACUCUUUGGACUAAUGAUUACACCCCUGUUCAGCAGGACGCAACGCUUUGGAACAUUCAGAUAGAAAUAGGCUAUGUAGCACAAACAUGCCUCUCUGACAUAUAGAAUAAGGAAUCACAUCGGCUCUAUUCAUGUUAUUUCAAUCUGCAAUGUUCAACAAAAAUGUGAAAAGUGGAACAUAUAAGUAAAUAAUAUGGAAUGGUGGAAUGCACAUGCCUUCUGGAAGAUCUGAUUAAGCAGAAGAUGAUGGCGGUAUGGUCGCUGGAAGAUGUUGGGGGGGGCAGCAUGGCCCGCGUACAGGAAAAAAAGGAGAAAAGUGGAACAUGUUUUGAGUUAAUAUGGAUCACACAGAACCUUUGGAAGAGCUAUUCUGGCCCAGUGAGAGUGAAAUGUCUGGAGACAAUGGAUCCUUAACAUCUGGCAGAUCCAUAUGUGGAGAAGAGGUUGGGGAAUGUUGGGUUGGUGAAAGUGACUUGAAGCGGAAUCAUGUUGAUUUUUUGCAUUUCUGCUGUCCAGUAGGAGCGUGCGCUCCCCAUCACGCGAUUGGGGAGAAGAACUGUGACUUGCUUUCCUCUCCAGAGCAGGGUGCCGUUGAAAGGAGUGAUAACUGGAGUGAAGUUAAGUGUUGAGGAAGGUCAGCUGAAGUUGAAGUUUCCCGGUGUCUUUGACGCUCGCCGUUUGGUGUGACGCAGACCGGUGGAGAGCGUGGUUAAACAGACAAUACACCGUCUGUACUACUACAUUUUGAUGUAUGUCUUUACCAGAUAAAGUCAAUUUAGGAUGUGUCAGUUAUCCCGUGAGAGCUUUUUCCCGAACCCAUUAUGGUGUUUUAGGUGUCAAUCUUAUGGUCAUGUGGCAGCAGUGUGUAGGAGAGAGAUUCCUAGAUGUGAGAAGUGUGCAGGAGGACAUGAGACAAAGGAAUGUUUAGUAUCAGUGGAAAAAGUUGUACGUGUAAACUGUGGGGGUACCCAUGAUGCUGGAGAUCAGAGGUGUCCGGUGAGAGAAAGGCUGUUUGAGGUUGCCCGGAUCAGAGUAGUACAGAAGGUACUGGCGAGCUCCUGCCCGCCAUCCCUAGCUGACACCUUCCUAACAGAUAGUGUCAAUUUAAAACUUGCACAAGGCAGUUCACAGAAUUGCCCAUUUAAAGAAAUGUAGCCAAUUUAUUAAUUACAAAAUGUAGCUAACAUUAGAUAGUUAAUCCAGAGAUUCUUACCUUUGUCUCGAUUCAUCAGUCUCGUCCAGAUCAUCAUGGCAUUUGUAGUUCUUUAUGAUAGCCUAACUAGCGUUUCAUUUUUGUCGGGAUAAAUUCAGGCGAAUAUACUGAUAAAAGUCACCUUGUCCUAGAGAGAUUUAGUUGGUUAUCAAAACGUCACGCCAGGGUAAGUCUACACAAAACAUAGUCCUCAUUGGAACAAUUUCCUUGUUUGACCGCUAGGUUUUAUGGGUGUUGUGACUCAUACUGCUGUACUCUAUGAAUUCAUACCUCCGAAUAGUAGGCUGAUACAUAGGCAAUACAGUAGGUGGCGGCAUGUACUUAUUACAUCUGUUUGCUGACAGUCAAAAUACCAAAAAAGAAGAAGUAGAAUUGUUAGCUGGCGUGUAUGUGCUAUAUGUUGUUUUUGGUUGCGUUGUUGUGCGAACUCUGUGUUGAGCAGCGGCGGAAGAGAGAGGUAAUAACAGAGGUGCAUAUCUCUAGUAAGAAUUUGGGAUGGUGUUUGGGUUAUGUAACCUGUUAGACACGUAAAUAUUAAGCAUAUAUAACUGAAAGGCCCAAGUGCUGCUGUGGAACCAUAUGGGUUUGGUAGAAUGACGUUAUGGCUGCGAUCAUGUGUUUUGGCUUCAGGCAGAACCAGUGGACAAACAGCCAAGAUGGAGCUGGAGGAGGUGCAGGACAAACGCUCCCUCUCUGAAUGCGAUAAGAGGAAGAAGGCAAUGCAACCUGAGAACAGCAGCGUUGUUCAAGAUGAUAAUGGAAAGGAAGCAGGAAAAAUGAAUUCUGAUGGAGAAUUUCAGGCAUGUGGCAGCAACGAUUCAUUUCUAGAUUCAAUCUUUGAAGAGGAGUUGGAUCGACUUUUGGACCUGACAAUGACCCAACACACCUCCAGGCUAUGUAGGGGCUAUUUUUUACCAAGAAGGAGAU